rnacentral:rRNA from 1 species
UACGAAGGGUGCAAACGUUGCUCGGAAUCAUUGGGCGUAAAGCGCACGUAGGCGGCGCAGUAAGUCGGACGUGAAAUCCCUCGGCUCAACCGAGGACGUGCAUCCGAAACUACUGUGCUCGAGUAUGGAAGAGGGUCGCGGAAUUCUCGGUGUAGAGGUGAAAUUCGUAGAUAUCGGGAGGAACACCAGUGGCGAAGGCGGCGACCUGGGCCAAUACUGACGCUGAGGUGCGAAAGCGUGGGGAGCAAACAGGG